rnacentral:rRNA from 1 species
AACGUAGGAGGCGAGCGUUAUCCGGAUUUACUGGGUGUAAAGCGCGUGCAGGCGGUCGGCGAAGUUGGAUGUGAAAGCUCCUGGCUCAACUGGGAGAGGUCGUUCAAAACUGGUCGACUCGAGAGCAGUAGAGGAAGGUGGAAUUCCGGGAGUAGUGGUGAAAUGCGUAGAUAUCCGGAGGAACACCAGUGGCGAAGGCGGCCUUCUGGACUGCAUCUGACGCUCAGACGCGAAAGCUAGGGUAGCAAACGGG